GGUAUUCCUUAUCAUCUAUCUAAUACGUUGAUUUAUCUGGAACCUGUCCCAUUGCACUCUGUGCUCUUACAGCGUCCGGCUGCGUCUGUAGCGGCUGUGCGCCCCCUUUCUUUUAAGGGCUUCAUCUUGCCGCCGCGAUGCAACCUGAACUACGGGCACUUAACAAAGCGCAAUAAGACAGGUUCUGGGUUUAGUUGCCGCGCUU
rnacentral:sRNA from 1 species